AGUAGCGGCGCUGCGCGCAGGCCGGGAACACGAGGCCAAGAGCCGCAGCCCCAGCCGCCUUGGUGCAGCGUACACUGGCACUAGCCCGCUUGCAGCCCCAGGAUUAGACAGAAGACGCGUCCUCGGCGCGGUCGCCGCCCAGCCUUAGUCACCUGGAUUACCUACAGCGGCAGCUGCAGCGGAGCUAGCGAGAAGGCCAAAGGGGAGCAGCGUCCCGAGAGGAGCGCCUCUUUUCAGGGACCCCGCCGGCUGGCGGACGCGCGGGAAAGCGGCGUCGCGAACAGAGCCAGAUUGAGGGCCCGCGGGUGGAGAGAGCGACGCCCCAGGGGAUGGCAGCAGCGUCCCGGAGCGCCUCUGGCUGGGCGCUACUGCUGCUGGUGGCACUUUGGCAGCAGCGCGCGGCCGGCUCCGGCGUCUUCCAGCUGCAGCUGCAGGAGUUCAUCAACGAGCGCGGCGUACUGGCCAGUGGGCGGCCUUGCGAGCCCGGCUGCCGGACUUUCUUCCGCGUCUGCCUUAAGCACUUCCAGGCGGUCGUCUCGCCCGGACCCUGCACCUUCGGGACCGUCUCCACGCCGGUAUUGGGCACCAACUCCUUCGCUGUCCGGGACGACAGUAGCGGCGGGGGGCGCAACCCUCUCCAACUGCCCUUCAAUUUCACCUGGCCGGUGAGCACAGCCUGGGCGCACUGGGAGGUCGCAGAAGCCGAGAGAGGAGGCGCCCUGGGACCAAAGCCCCCUCCCCAGAUUUCCUUGUACACACACCCCCACCCCCAAAAAGCCCAGGAUGCAUUCUUUCCUGGCUCUUCCCGACUCUCUCCUGAGACUGAUCCCAGAAAAGGCUCUCACCAGUCUCCGUCUUCCCAGUUUAUGUCCUCCCGUCCCCAGCUCUUGGGACACGAUUUUCAUUACCUACCACUCUGGGGCGGUACCCUACCACCCCCUCCUCCAGUGGCUUUCCCUUACGCUCUCCCGUCUCUCAACCCUCCCUCUACCGGGGGUUCUCCUCUCGCCUUCCCUGCUCAAGCGCUACACUGUGCACAGCCCCGUUAUGUUGACCCGGGCGCAGUAACUGAAUCCUGCAAUUAGAUUAAUUAAACAGGCUGCCGCAAGGCACCCCCACCUCUCCCCGCUUGCUCAUCUCGCCAUCUCUCCGUCCCCCCACCCCCUUUCCCAGGGUACCUUCUCACUCAUCAUCGAAGCUUGGCACGCGCCAGGAGACGACCUGCGGCCAGGUGAGUAGCUCGCUCCGCCACCACAGGGGGGCGACACAGCGCAGCGCCGAAAGAGUUAAUCUGUUCUAGGCGGGGGAAGUGCGGGCUUGGGGGUGGGAGGCAGGACGCUUAGCUUGGCCCGGAGCUGCGCCCCGCGCUGGACGCUCGGAUUCCGUUCGCUGCCUGGACUCAGAGCACAAUUGCGUUUCCUGCGGGUUAUUUUUGGCGU
rnacentral:sRNA from 1 species